rnacentral:rRNA from 1 species
CCUACGGGUGGCAGCAGUGGGGAAUAUUGGGCAAUGGACGAAACUCUGACCCAGCAACGCCGCGUGAAUGAUGAAGGUCUUCGGAUUGUAAAGUUCUUUUCGAAGGGAAGAAGAAAGUGACGGUACCUUAGGAAUAAGCCUCGGCUAACUACGUGCCAGCAGCCGCGUUAAUACGUAGGAGGCGAGCGUUAUCCGGAAUGACUGGGCGUAAGGGGUGCGUAGGUGGUUCGGCAAGUUAGUGGGGAAAGUCCAAGGCUCAACCGUGGAACUGCUACUGAAACUGUUGAACGUGAGUGCAGGAGAGGAAAGCGGAAUUCCUAGUGUAGCGGUGGAAUGCGUAGAUAUUAGGAAGAACACCAGUGGCGAAGGCGGGUUGCUGGACUGUAACUGACGCUGAGGCACGAAAGCGUGGGGAGCGAACAGGAUUAGAUACCCCUGUAGUC